rnacentral:rRNA from 1 species
UGGGGAAUAUUGGACAAUGGGCGAAAGCCUGAUCCAGCCAUGCCGCGUGUGUGAAGAAGGUCUUCGGAUUGUAAAGCACUUUAAGUUGGGAGGAAGGGCAGUAAGCGAAUACCUUGCUGUUUUGACGUUACCGACAGAAUAAGCACCGGCUAACUCUGUGCCAGCAGCCGCGGUAAUACAGAGGGUGCAAGCGUUAAUCGGAAUUACUGGGCGUAAAGCGCGCGUAGGUGGUUCGUUAAGUUGAAUGUGAAAGCCCCGGGCUCAACCUGGGAACUGCAUCCAAAACUGGCGAGCUAGAGUAGGGCAGAGGGUGGUGGAAUUUCCUGUGUAGCGGUGAAAUGCGUAGAUAUAGGAAGGAACACAAGUGGCGAAGGCGACAACCUGGGCUCAUACUGACACUGAGGUGCGAAAGCGUGGGGAGCAAACAGG